AUUGAACGCUGGCGGCAGGCUUAACACAUGCAAGUCGAACGAGUGGCGGACGGGUGAGUAAGGCGUGGGAAUCUAGCAUAUGGAGGGGGAUAACUACGGGAAACUGUAGCUAAUACCGAGUAACAGAGGAUGAGACAAAGUUGGAUACGGUAGUUGGUGAGGUAAAGGCUCACCAAGCUGACGAUCUCUAGCUGGUAUGAGAGGAUGACCAGCCACACUGCGACUGGAACACGGCCCAGACUCCUACGGGAGGCAGCAGUAGGGAAUAUUGCGCAAUGGGGGCAACCUGACGCAGCCAUGCCGCGUGAAUGAAGAAGGCCUUCGGGUUGUAAAGUUCUUUCGGUAGCGAGGCGUUAACUACAGAAGAAGCACCGGCUAACUCCGUGCCAGCAGCCGCGGUAAUUC
rnacentral:rRNA from 1 species